rnacentral:rRNA from 1 species
AGCAGCCGCGGUAAUUCCAGCUCCAAUAGCGUAUAUUAAAGUUGUUGCAGUUAAAAAGCUCGUAGUUGAAUUUCGGAGUUUGUCGGUUGGUCGGGCUUCAUUGUCCGCACUGACCUGAUGGAUUCCUACCUUCUGAAUAACCAGCAUGCUAUUAAGUUAGUGCGUUGGGGAAGCAGAGCUAUUACCUUGAAAAAAUUAGAGUGCUUAAAGCAGGCUUAUGCUUGAAUAGAUUAGCAUGGAAUAAUAAAAUAGGACGGCAUGGUUCUAUUUUGUUGGUUUCUAGGAUCACCGUAAUGAUUAAUAGGGAUAGUUGGGGGCAUUAGUAUUCAAUUGUCAGAGGUGAAAUUCUUGGAUUUAUUGAAGACUAACUUCUGCGAAAGCAUUUGCCAAGGAUGUUUUCAUUAAUCAAGAACGAAAGUUAGGGGAUCGAAGACGAUCAGAUACCGUCGUAGUCUUAACCAUAAACUAUGCCGACUAGGGAUUCGGACGAUGUUAAUUUUUAAUGACUCGUUCGG